CCUACGGGAGGCAGCAGUGAGGAAUAUUGGUCAAUGGGCGAGAGCCUGAACCAGCCAAGUAGCGUGAAGGAUGACUGCCCUAUGGGUUGUAAACUUCUUUUAUACGGGAAUAAAGUGAGGCACGUGUGCCUUUUUGUAUGUACCGUAUGAAUAAGGAUCGGCUAACUCCGUGCCAGCAGCCGCGGUAAUACGGAGGAUCCGAGCGUUAUCCGGAUUUAUUGGGUUUAAAGGGAGCGUAGAUGGAUGUUUAAGUCAGUUGUGAAAGUUUGCGGCUCAACCGUAAAAUUGCAGUUGAUACUGGAUAUCUUGAGUGCAGUUGAGGCAGGCGGAAUUCGUGGUGUAGCGGUGAAAUGCUUAGAUAUCACGAAGAACUCCGAUUGCGAAGGCAGCCUGCUAAGCUGCAACUGACAUUGAGGCUCGAAAG
rnacentral:rRNA from 1 species